GGCUCCGUCACGGAGGUGGGGCAGUGCUGGUAAAAUCCUGAUCCGCACUAGGCUCCUCUGCCACCACCCCAGUGGGGAAAGGCAGACAUGCUCAGUGGGAGUCUCACCGCCUCCGAGGUCUCGGCUGAAGCACCCUGGGGGAGGCUGUGACAGCGAGUGUGGGCGUCUAGGCUCUCCACCUGACCCCUGCUGCGUGUGUAGGACAGGGUCUGGGCCAGCCCAUCAGGCUGCCCCCAGCCCCAAGUGAACAGAUAAGAUGCCUGGGGCCAGCCUCGUGGCGCAGUGGAUUAGGCUGCGGGCUGUGACCCAGCAUCCCACAUCAGGGCACGGUUCUAGUCCUGGAUGCUCUGCUUCCACCCAGCUCUCUGCUAAUGCGCCUGGGAGGGAAGCAGGUGAUGGCUGACUGCCUGGGCUCCUGCCACCCACGUGGGACACCAGAGUUACAGGCUCCUGGCUUUGACCUGAACCAGCAUGUGGAAGAUCUCUCCCUCUCUCUCUCUGACCUUUCAAAUAACUAAACAAACCUUUAAAAACAACAAAGAUGUGUGAAUCUCCACAGGAGGGCCCACAACACACGCUUUUAUCUGCCAUCCCAUGUGCUACGAACGCAGGACGGAGCAGGCCUGGGAAAGCAGUGUGCUCACCGCUUCUGGAAUGAUCUCUCCCACGGAGUCUGCAGCGCCCUCACCUGACACGGAGAAGUCCCCCAGGCCCCAUUCGCCUAGCCACGCCUCUGUGGCAGCCAGGAAAGAGAGGCAGGGCUGACUUUAGGAUGAGAAUAAAAAUGGCCACAAAAACGCAGGCCCCAGUCACCUAAGCUGAGCAAACACAAAAAGUGACAGCAGGCACGGUGCAAUGACAGGGUUGCCUGCAGUCACCCGGGGGUGGGGGGCAAGGUGUGUCUGGCCCACACGCUGUCCGCUAAGGCGUCUCACUCUGAUGAUGCAUGAAAUUAGCCACCCUGCAGAGCUGCGCCCACAUCCACGCCAACCGGCAACGUGGCCUCCUCUCAUUACCCUGCCUGCCACACAGCCACCUGGAGGCGUGUGAUUGAUGACAACCUCAUAAACCUGGGGGAACGGGCCGUCCUGGUGCCCUGCAAGAGCGAAGCUGCCACUCACAGUCGCAUUAAUCAUCACGUGUCGAUGCUGGCUUCCCCGCAGUCACGCCUUGGUGGGCCACCCCACGGCCUCUAAGAUGUGACACAGUUUCUGGGACAGCCGCACCUGCUGCACUCAGGGACACUGUGUCCCGAACUUCAAAGCAAGCAACUCUUGGACACCCUUCUACUGCUUGAGGACUGAACUGUUUUCUACUACUCUCUGCCCAAGGUAGAAUCCAGCAAGCCCCCUUCCCUGCCUCCUUUGUAGCUAGGACACAAGUGUGUAACUGGUUUCCACCAAAGACCCUCACGCAACACUUCAAAGGGGAAGGCCAGAAUGAGCUCAGAGAGGGGUGGCGUUUGCUGGUCAGGGUGUGGUUGGGCCAGCCUCCCUCACACUUGUAAGCUGAGCUUGCGACUCUGGCCCGAGCGCCAGCACUGGAUGCCGUGUCAGCCGAGACGAGCCCCGGUGGAGCCCAGGGCGGCAUCACGGCGUCACAGGCUCCCUGGUGUUAGCGGCGGCUGCUGCAGCAGCAUUUUCUCAUCAGGGCAGGCCUGCAGCGUGUCUGCCCAUCGCUACUCAAAGCACAGCUCCAAACCCAAUUCUCCGGCCCCCAACACUUCCGUGAGCUGCUCGGUCUCCUUCUAGAAACUCUUCCAGUGCCUGGAAAGAUGUCCAUGAUACACAACCCUGGACUCUCCAACUGCGCCCCUGAAGGCCACCAUUCAGGCCUUCGGAACUCAAGACAGAGACGCGUGCUCAAGUUCUGCAGGCUGCUGCCGCCUGCUGGCCCCUGGGCCCCUUGAAGCAGCGUGGCCAGCUCUGCACAACAGCACGGGGCUGCACAAUGCUGCUGGCACAUUUUAUCCCAUCACACCCUUGUGGUCUUAUAAAAACAAAUAAGAAAAGAUAUUAAAAUGUUGAUAUUUGUAACAAGACUAUGAUGAGGUCUUAAGUGCUUAAUAAAAUUGAAACAAAGAAAUCACUGGGGCACUACAAGGAGAAGCCUUGAUUUGCUGCUCAUGGGAGGGAAGCAGGCAGACUUGGGGUUCAAGUGCAAAGUCUGAGAACAAAUUGCAAGAAGGGGAAUGAGAUACCAGACUAACUUAGGCCUCUGAGAUGCGAUCACCUGAGAGAGUGUAUGCCUGUUAUUCACUUGUGCGUAUUUAACUUUUGAAUGGCUCUUGAGAAACACAUUGUGUGUGAAGGCACAGGGGACUGUUCAUAUAUUCUAAAGUAAAAUAAGUAGAAUGCAGGAGAGAGCGCCUAGGUGGAGGCCAGAUUUAAAACAGAGAUGCAUGUGCGUGUGCUGUGAGACACUCUGCAUGGACACCUGCCAACUCUAGAAAGGUGCUAACUCUGUGGGUAGAGAGGGUAAAGGAAUUUCACUUGCUAUUUCACAUAGCCUUGGAUGGUUAGAAAUUUUGCAACACAUAAGUGUUACAUACUGUUAGAAU